UCUUGGCUGACUCACACAGGUUUCCCUCUAGGAUUUGCCUGUACUUUCACCAUCCAUCUUCCCCUCAAUCCUGACAAGCUUCCCAAUCCUUGCUGUUGUU